GCCGAGUUGCUGAGCCCAGAACAAGCUAAAUGGCCGCCUCCGAGACCUCCUCAUCUUCCGAGUCCGAAGACCACAGACGAAGCCGCCGCGACGGCCGGAAGUCCCGCCACCGCGGUGACCCCGAUCUCGACGCCCGUAACAGCCGCGACAAGCCUAGAUCCGGCGGUGCUGAUUCUAGGGAUCUUCGCAGAGACGAAAGGAAGCACCGCGACCGCGGUCGUAGCAGCUCCGGCGACGAGGGUUCCGAUUCGGAUGGCCGAGGGAAGAGGCGGAGCUCGGCGAACGAUCGCCGGCAGCGUCGGCACGCUGACGAGGGAGAGAAGGCGAGGAACCACCGGUCGGACGGGAGGGGUCGAAGGAGAGACGAGGACGGUGAGGAUGGUAGAGAAGAUAGGGUUCGAGAGAGGGACAGGAAGCGAAGGUCCGACGAGGAGGGAAGCCCUCGGAGGCGAGAGAGGACCAGAGACGAGGGGCGCCACAGGUCUCGCGAUGAAGAUAGCCCUCGCCGGCGAGACAAGAAGACAGACAGAGAUCGGGAUCGCAGGAAGCAGCACUCGGAUGAUGAUAGAAGCCCUCGAAGGCGAGAGAGGACCACAGACAAUGGCAGAGACCGGUCCGGAAAUGAUGAUGACCGUGGAGCACGGCAUAGAAGUCAUAGAGACAGAGAUAUGGACGAAGAAGGCCAUCCAAGAGUUGGAGAAGCCAAGAAAGUUGAAAACGAGCUGCCACCGCCGCCGCCAAUCCCUGAUUCCAUUGCGGGAAGGACUGGUGGCAUAUACAUCCCCCCAUUCAGGAUGGCACAGAUGAUGCGGGAGUUGCAGGACAAGAGCAGCGAGGCCUACCAGAGGCUCAGCUGGGAUGCUCUUCGGAAGAGCAUUAAUGGACUGGUGAACAAAGUCAAUGCCACCAACAUCAAGAAUAUAAUCCCCGAGCUCUUCUCAGAAAACUUAAUUCGUGGGCGGGGCCUGUUCUGCCGGUCAUGUAUGAAAUCACAGAUGGCGUCACCUGGUUUUACAGAUGUAUUUGCUGCGUUAGUUGCUGUUGUGAACACCAAGUUCCCAGAAGUGGGUUUACUUCUAUUGAAAAGAAUCGUGUUACAACUCAAAAGGGCAUAUAAACGGAAUGACAAGCCUCAAUUACUCGCUGCAACAAAAUUUAUAGCUCAUCUUGUGAAUCAACAAGUAGCACAUGAGAUUAUUGCAUUAGAGCUUCUAACGGUGCUGUUGGAAAACCCUACUGAUGAUAGUGUAGAGGUAGCUGUAGGUUUUGUUAAAGAAUGUGGAGCAUUGCUUCAGGACUUCUCCCCUCAAGGUCUCCAUGGUAUUUUUGAACGUUUUAGGGGAAUACUUCAUGAAGGAGAGAUAGAUAAACGAGUUCAAUUCUUGAUUGAAGGCCUUUUUGCAAUAAGGAAAGCCAAAUUUCAGGGAUUUCCAGCUAUCCGGCCAGAAUUGGAUCUUGUGGAACAAGAAGAUCAAUUCACCCAUGAAAUAUCCCUGGAAGAUGAAAUAGAUCCAGAGACAAAUCUUGAUGUUUUUAAGCCAAAUCCAACAUUUCUGGAUGAUGAGAAGGCUUAUGAAAAUAUUAAGAAAAGUAUCCUUGGUACGGAGUCUUCUGAAGAUGAAGAAGGGUCUGAUGCAGCCUCAGAUGAAGACGACGAAGAAGAAUCUGAAGAGGAGGAUGAGGAGAAAAUGGAAAUAAAAGAUGAGACUGAGACAAAUCUUGUUAAUUUACGGAGAACUAUUUAUCUGACAAUCAUGUCAAGUGUUGAUUUUGAGGAGGCUGGUCAUAAGCUGUUAAAAAUCAAACUUGAGCCUGGUCAAGAGAUGGAAUUAUGCAUAAUGCUGCUUGAGUGCUGCAGCCAAGAGAGGACAUAUCUUCGUUAUUAUGGGCUUCUAGGACAGCGGUUUUGCAUGAUCAAUAAAGUCCACCAGGAAAACUUUGAGAAAUGCUUUGUGCAGCAGUAUUCCAUGAUACAUCGACUUGAAACUAAUAAACUACGUAAUGUGGCUAAGUUCUUCGCUCAUUUACUUGGAACUGAUGCACUCCCUUGGCAUGUUCUUGCUUAUAUCCGCUUGACGGAGGAGGACACAACUUCAUCUUCACGAAUUUUUAUAAAAAUUCUCUUCCAGGAAUUGUCAGAGCAUCUCGGCAUACGUUUGCUUAAUGAACGUCUAAAUGAUCCGACCAUGCAAGAUUCAUUUGAGUCUAUUUUCCCCAAGGACAACCCAAAAAAUAUAAGAUUUUCUAUAAAUUUUUUCACAUCAAUUGGACUAGGUGGCAUAACAGAGAACUUGAGAGAAUAUUUGAAAAAUAUGCCUCGCCUCAUAAUGCAGCAGCAGAAAUCUGUUUCGGAUUCAGAUGAAGAAUCUGAAAGUUCUGAAGAGUUGAGUUCAACAGGCUCUGGCUCUGAAUCAGGUUCUGAGUCGGCGUCGGAACCAAGCUCUGAAAGUGAUGGAAGGCACAAUAAGAGAAGGAAGAGGAAAUGAUGAAACGUUCUGAAGCCUCAAGUCCCCUAUGUUGUCCUCAAGUAUAUUUUUGACUUUAGAGCAGGUAUUAAGAAUCAAAGUUGAUGACCGGUAAUUGGAGGAAAGCUAAUGUCUCAUUGGAAAGGCUUGGAGUACUUCUUUGUCCAUGGGCUGGAGAAGCGUUAGCAGAGUUGACUGUUGAAUUAAUAGCUGCAUUGUGCUUUUGCUGCUGUCAUGCUUGAUAUUUCUCAGCUGAGAUGAAUCCUGCUAUUGAAAGAAUGGUAGAAGACAGAUGGCUGGCCGUACAUCUUCAAGGGGCUCGUCUGCUGUUGGCCAACCCUGCCGCUUGUCUUCCUUCUGUCAUGGCUGUCUGGCUUGCAGUUUGCCGCUGGCUGUAAAGAUAUUGGAUUUAUCUUGGGCUGGUAUAUAAGCUGGAUCUUUCUUUUUUGUUGCAGACUUGUGCAAUUAUAUCUAUCGUCUGUUGGGAGGGUCUGUUAAGAUAUACAAUCUUUACAAAUGUAGAUCUUGAUAGUUACUGUUUCGUUUCUA